UACAGAGGUCCCAAGCGUUGUUCGGAUUCAUUGGGCGUAAAGGGUGCGUAGGCGGCGCGGUAAGUCGGGUGUGAAAUCUCGGGGCUUAACUCCGAAACUGCAUUCGAUACUGCCGUGCUUGAGGACUGGAGAGGAGACUGGAAUUUACGGUGUAGCGGUGAAAUGCGUAGAGAUCGUAAGGAAGACCAGUGGCGAAGGCGAGUU
rnacentral:rRNA from 1 species